GGAGGAAAGUAGGGGAUCGUAAGACCUUGUGCUUUUGGAGCGGCCGAUGCCUGAUUAGCUAGUUGGUGGGGUAAAGGCCUACCAAGGCAACGAUCAGUAGUUGGUCUGAGAGGACGACCAGCCACACUGGGACUGAGACACGGCCCAGACUCCUACGGGAGGCAGCAGUGGGGAAUUUUGGACAAUGGGCGAAAGCCUGAUCCAGCAAUGCCGCGUGAGUGAAGAAGGCCUUCGGGUUGUAAAGCUCUUUCAGUCGAGAAGAAAAGGUUGUGACUAAUAAUCACAAUUUAUGACGGUAUCGACAGAAGAAGCACCGGCUAACUACGUGCCAGCAGCCGCGGUAAUACGUAGGGUGCAAGCGUUAAUCGGAAUUACUGGGCGUAAAGGGUGCGCAGGCGGCUCUGUAAGUCAGAUGUGAAAUCCCCGGGCUUAACCUGGGAAUUGCGUUUGAAACUACAAAGCUA
rnacentral:rRNA from 1 species